rnacentral:lncRNA from 1 species
GGAUUAUUGCUGCAAUUCUGGUUUUGUUCUACAGCUAUAUUUUGGUUUUGGGUUAGAGAGGAGAUUUAUAUUUUUGACGUGGAGGUCUUGUAUAAAUUCCUUGUUGUAAAAACCGCAACCAUUAUAGUGCAUUUGCUUCCGGGUGGAAGGACACUGGAUGUAGGCAUUGUUGCACGAACCAGUAUAAAAACCUGUGUUUGAUUUUCUCU